rnacentral:rRNA from 1 species
UACGUAGGGUGCAAGCGUUAAUCGGAAUUACUGGGCGUAAAGCGUGCGCAGGCGGUUGUGCAAGACAGAGGUGAAAUCCCCGAGCUUAACUUGGGAACUGCCUUUGUGACUGCAUAGCUAGAGUGUGUCAGAGGGGGGUAGAAUUCCACGUGUAGCAGUGAAAUGCGUAGAGAUGUGGAGGAAUACCGAUGGCGAAGGCAGCCCCCUGGGCUAACACUGACGCUCAUGCACGAAAGCGUGGGGAGCAAACAGG